UAAGCAUAUCAAUAAGCGGAGGAAAAGAAACCAACAGGGAUUGCCUCAGUAACGGCGAGUGAAGCGGCAAAAGCUCAGAUUUGAAAUCUUUUUGAUUAUAUCAAGACAAAUUGUAAUCUGUAGAAGGCUGAAUGGCUGAAUAUUCUGAUUUAAAUUCCUUGGAAUAGGAUAUCAUAGAGGGUGAGAAUCCCGUGAUUUUCAGAAAAUAAGCCAAUUAAUUCGCCUUUCGACGAGUCGAGUUGUUUGGGAAUGCAGCUCUUAAUGGGUGGUAAAUUUCAUCUAAAGCUAAAUACCUGCCAGAGACCGAUAGCGAACAAGUAGAGUGAUCGAAAGAUGAAAAGCACUUUGAAAAGAGAGUUAAAAAGUACGUGAAAUUGUUGAAAGGGAAGCGCUUGCGAUUAGACUUGAUAUAUAAAUUCAAUCAAUCUAUGGAUUCGAUUUACUUUUUAUUUAUCAGGCCAGCAUCAGUUUGGUGGGAUUUAUAAAGGCAGUUGGAAUGUAGUAAGCCUAGCUUAUAUUAUAGCCUUCUGUGUCAUUUUAUCCACGCUAGACUGAGGUCUGCUCUUCGGAAAGGAUGCUGGCAUAAUGAUCGUAAGCGACCCGUCUUGAA
rnacentral:rRNA from 1 species